GCCGAAGUGGUGAAAUUGGUAUACACGCAUGCUUCAGGUGCAUGUGGGGGAAACCCUGUGGAGGUUCGAGUCCUCUCUUCGGCACCA
rnacentral:tRNA from 1 species